GACGAACGCUGGCGGCGUGCUUAACACAUGCAAGUCGAACGGAAAGGCCUGCUUUCCCUUGUGGAUUGCGGGUACUCGAGUGGCGAACGGGUGAGUAACACGUGAGUGAUCUGCCCCCAACUUGGGUAUAAGCCUGGGAAACUGGGUCUAAUUCCCGAUAGGACUGCAGGGUGGUGCCUGUGGUGGAAAACGAUUUUCUAGUGGUUGGGGAUGAGCUCGCGGCCUAUCAGCCUGUUGGUGGGGUAAUGGCCUACCAAGGCGGCGACGGGUAGCCGGCCUGAGAGGGUGGACGGCCACAUUGGGACUGAGAUACGGCCCAGACUCCUACGGGAGGCAGCAGUGGGGAAUAUUGCACAAUGGGCGGAAGCCUGAUGCAGCGACGCGGCGUGGGGGAUGACGGCCUUCGGGUUGUAAACUCCUUUCGACCGCGAGGAAGCCACCUGGUUGGAAGGGUGGUGACGGUAGUGGUAGAAGAAGCACCGGCUAACUACGUG
rnacentral:rRNA from 1 species